rnacentral:rRNA from 1 species
GACAGAGGCCUCAAGCGUUAGGCGGAGUCACUGGGCUUAAAGCGUGUGUAGGCGGACGCCUAAGUGUCUUGUGAAAUCCCCCGGCUCACCCGGGGAACUGCUGGGCAUACUGGGCGUCUUGGGCCAACUAGGGGCAACUGGAACAAGCGGUGGAGCGGUGAAAUGCGUAGAUAUCAGGAGGAACACCUGCGGUGUAGACGGCUUACUGGACCAUAACUGACGCUGAGGCACGAAAGCGUGGGUAGCAAACAGG